UCCUUCAUAGUCUAGUGGUUAGGAUACUCCGCUUUCAACACCAGGAAGUAUUCCGGAGAGUCCCGGGUUCGAACCCCGGUGUAGGAA
rnacentral:tRNA from 1 species